GCGAGUGAAGACGAGAGCGGAAGAGCGAGAAUGCCGACUACUCGUUCGGCUUCACGUCCUCGUAUGGAUUUACCAGGUUCGCUCUUCUCCAAUUUCUACAUGUUUAUUGUAUCGUUAGACAAGUCGAUUGCGUGAAGAGUUCCGAUGAUUUGAUCUUUGUAGUGUUCUUUUCAGUUGUGCACCUCAUAAAAUUGCUCGUCAAAGAUCGUAACUUCUCCAAACAAAGGCUCUAUUGAGUAAAUACCUCGAUAUAUGAGAGAUCGAUCAGGCUUCCUUUUGUAGACUAACUUCAUAUUAUUCUCCUCUGGUUGUGGAUAGUACUUUUGCUUUCGUUUCUAGUGUUCGCUACCUGUCUAAAUAUAUGCAAUGGUAUAAACAGGUUGCAAAAUAAGUGUUUUUUUAGUUUGUUAAUCCAUGUCGAUUCCGUUUUUGCUAGAUAUUUUUCGUUAAAUUUGUCAACUUUCAUCAGAUGCAUAACAUUUUUCCUGCGUUAUUGGGAGGUCUAUUGUAUAGUAGGUUCAGAUUUUUACUAGUGUUCAAACUUAGAGAAGUUGGAAAUGCUUUCCUGGUUAGAUAUUUGUACUGGUUGUAAAGAUUUAAACCUGUUUUUCAUAAUUCUGGAAUUGAUUUACGGUUAAAAAUAUCAUCUUUUACUUUCAUGAUCUUUCCGAGUACACAUGUUGGUAAGACUGAUGUUACCUUGAUUUUGCCUGUAUCAAGUGCGGUUGGAGAAUGUCUAUCAUGUGCUAGAAGUGAAGAAUAGCUUACUAUCUGUUUCAUGGUUGACAACCUCAGGUAAUUAUGUAGGUAUUCAGGUGUAUCAUGAUACGAAGUUGUGAGAUACACCAAUUUGGAAGGUAAUGUCUGUCAAGUCAACGAACCUAUACCAAGAGAUCUAGGUAUAUUAAUGCCUUUGGGAGCUAGAUAAAUGAGUUGACACAAAUUUGUGUUGGCCGACUAUUUGAUAAUAUUGUGAAAUUUGUGAUCGUUGUGUAGGGUUUUAUAAUUGAUCUUGAUCUUGCAUCAUGUAGUAUUCGUCAAUCGUCAUAUCGCGCUUUGAUGUUAACAGUUAAUUUUGACUCAUAAUUUACUAUUCUUUUGUUCAUUAUGUACCAAUAUCAUAUUCGGAUUAUGCUUAGAUUAAUUACUUAGCGACUUAUGUUUAAAUAUUCAUUGGGAGAUUUGUGGGGAAUUGUGUUUUCAUUUAGGCCCUUGAAGCUAUAUCUUGUGGUUAACAUGCUAUUAUGUAAUUAGUUAAAACUGGCCCUUUAGGCCGUAUGAGUUGGUAGUGGGAACAGCUAAAGACGUUGGAUUAAUGCAACAAAAUAAGUUUAUUAGUUCAAUGAAGAAUACAACAGUUAAAAUUAUGACAUACUAAUUUUCAAGGCACAUCAUUCAUCAGCAUGACACCUCGUAGCUAGUGUUAUAAUAGUAGAGAUGCAAUGUCCUUGUUGCCAAACAAGUUCUUUCUAAUAAAAAAGAACGUAACUUUUUCCCCUCAACUUUUGCAUUUUAUGCUUGUAUAUAUUUCUGUGGGAUUUAAGUUUUUUUGGAUUUUGUAGGAAGUUAUAAUGAUGAGGUGCCCAUGGAUCUAAUUGCCCAUUUGUCUUUGUUAUCAUGUGCCAUUCUAGUAGGUAUUGAUUGUACCAGUUUAAACCUACAUUGUUUUGGUUUGGCAUAGCACAUGUGCCAAUUGAUAGGCAUCAUGCUAGCACAGUAAAGGCUUAUCUUUGUACAAUGAAAUUUAAAGUCUUGCAUUUUCCAAAUUAGAACUGUCUAUGAUAAUGUUCUCUGGAAUACAUUCAUAGAGCUACUGCAUGGUUUGUGUACAACUUAUUGCAUAAUACUAGGUGCAACGAUUGUAACAUUUACUUUGAAAGAUAAUAGAUCCAUGAGGUGAUAAACCACCAAAUGGUACACAGCUAGUAGUACCCUUGGCCAGUGUUUUAGGUGGUUGUAUAUGUGCCUGGGUGUUCAGUAUUGACAAUUGUGGUAGGAUUCAUAGCCACACGUCUCAUCCUGCCUAUAUAUAAAAAGCACUGGCUCAAAGCAUGAUGAAGGACACACCUCUCAACCUGUCUAUGCAUAAAAAGCACUGGCUCAAAUCAUGACAAAGAACAUGUUGCAGUAGCUGGAAAUGAACCUUGAAUAUGUGCCAGGGCAGAAUACUGUCAAAAGCAUAACGAAGAACAUAUUGCACUAGCUGGAAAUGAACCUUGGAUAUGUACAAGGGCAGAAUACUGUCGAACGAGUAAGCAGCUGGUGCUAGAUUGAGAAUUGAUUUUAUAUUAUCAUUCUGUAGUUAUUAGGAUAAUAUGAGUAGCCAGAAUUAUAUUAUGAUCAGAUUUAAUAGUUACAUUCUGAUCUCUGAUAAAAGGUUUCAGGGAUAAAAUUAUGCAAUUACGAGGUAAUUGUUACAUUAUUGGCUAUAACAUAUACAAUAUUUUUCUUUAUCUUGAUCCUUUUUAGUAUAGAUUUGAAGAUUUUUGGGAAAAUUUUAUGCGAAACACAAUUUGUUUGCAAGUAGUUCUAAAGAAUGUCAGUGUUCUUUUUGGUUUAUUUUAGGAAAUAGGCAAGGUAAUCCCCCCUAAAGUGGAUUAACAAUACCUACCCUUUUUAUAUUAAAAUCUACAUCUGAAUGGUUUCUAUUUGUGGCUAUAUUCUGUAAGUCUGUUGAUGCCUUUGAGAAAGCCUACUUGCUUGUGGACUUUGGCUAGGUGAUCAAGCCCUUCUGCAACCUUUCUCUAGAAAGACUAUUCUUAUCUUUCAUAAAUCCUGACAGAUUAAAUGUGGCAUCCAGAUUUUUAGUCAAGAAUUCAAGAUCUUACCAAGGGACUUGCUAUCUGGUGGAGUGUUGGGUUCCAUCAAGUACAAUGGCAAUAUAAGUAGUCGAUGAUGCAAAUAACUGUUGAAUAAUCUGCAAGAGCUCGGAGCUAUUUGUGAAUCUGUCAUAGAUGUUCUCUCAAUCUUGCUAGGAGUAGAAUUUCAUGAAACGUAGUUGUCUGCUCGACUGAAACUAAUAUUGUGAUAUCUGGCAGCCCAUACUUCAGAUUUUCUACCCCCAUCCUGAUAGACCCAUCAUAUUCUUGAUGAAAAUCAUAGCUUGGUAUUGUGUGCAUCAUUGUAUUUUGCAUGGUGAGAAUGUUUUAGUUUUUCCAAAGACCAGCAAUGGAAUUUCAAAGAAAAGAACACUUGUAGGCUUUGGCAACUGCAUGGAAAUGUACUUCAAGUUCAGAUGGAGAUCUGAGCCCCUGUAGUAGCUUCAGAUUGUUUCAGAAGAACUGCAAAGCUAAGCUUUGAUGGAUACUGUAAAGAAGUACGAAGAUGUCCAAGCAUGGAAAACACAAUUCUAAAGGGAAUGCAUAGGAGACACACCACUUCAGAUCCUCUCAUUCUUCUUCUUUUUUUGCAUUAUUCUUUUCUUUAGCCAUUCAUGAAAAGGUUGCUGCUAACAUCCAAUGUCUCCUCAGAUAGGUGCCUUGCUGACACGGAAUAAUCAUCACUUGGGCCUUGGAUGUCACACUGGUGGUUCUUAGAGCAGAUAGCUCAUGUGUUCUGAACAAGGAACAAUUCCAUACCUCCCACGUAUGUUAUGGGUGUGUAAUCCCUUGAUACGGAUCAUUUUCAAUGUGAAGUAUUGCAGAAAUUGUCAUCAACUAAUAGUCUCUUAUUGGUAGAAUUGUUUGGAAAAGAUCAACUAAAAAGAUUACACUGAUUUACUGAUCUUGCUUGUCUGUAUUGCCAAUGAUGGUUAUGGUCUUGUUCUUGCUUGUAUUCAUUCAAAUUGAUCCAAUCAUUUACCUUGCUAAUUCAGAGUUCUCUCUUUCGUUAUCACCUGAAUAUACUGUUGUUAUUAUUAUGACACUCCGAGAUUGUGACACCCUGAUUUUAUUCUACAUCAUAAGUGAGAGGAUAUAUGUGACUCUACGUGUGGGUAAAUGAGUUCACAACCGUUAACUUAUGUAUAUUAGAUCAUAUGUUUCUAGGCUCAUCAAGUUAAAUGACCAGUUUUCCUAUCAUGUUUGAUCUCAAUAAUUGGUAUUAGGGUUAGAUAAGGUGCGAUAAAGGGUUCAAUUAGGAAAGGACUAUUAUAUAUGAAUGAAGUCGGAGGCGCAUUACAGUGUGAAAACAUUAGAAAGUUGGUUCUCACAUGCCACAUAUUAGGGCAUAAUAUUGGGCUACCUUUUGGUUUUGGAUUAUUUUGCGUCACAUGGUGAGUUUUCUCAUCGGGUCGGAUUGUGAUAAUUUAUGGAUCUUCAUGUUUAUAUUUCACAAGCUAAUUCCUGUAUCCUUUUGUAGACCAUAUAAAGAUUGGAUGCAUGCAAGGAUCAAGUCUCAUCCAAGUUGUGCUCAGAAAUUACCAAGUUAGAGCUCUGCUUUUGGAGUGGACUAAAACCAUAAUAACAAGUCUGGUGUGUAUCUUCACUUGUGAUCUUUGGGAAAAUGGAAGACAACUGGGUUCGGUACGGCACAUGGCUGAUUGGCACCCACCCACUUUGGGUUGCUUUGCCUAUGGGUGGUGAUGGUGGUGGUGGCGGUGGUGUUGGCAGCAGAGGAUUUCAACUAGAUUAGAGACCUGAGGAUUCCAUUUUCAUCUGUUAAGGGGUAGUGGCAUCCAAUGCCAUCCUGAUCUCUUCAGCCAGAGAGAAUACAGAACAAUGAGUCCAUCAAACUUGUUCCUAUCUCAUCAGUUCUGUAUAUUUCCUUUGGACCACAACUGCCAUUUUCAUGCUUCUUUUUGGUCUGUCCCCCCAUGGCUUGUCCGGUGGCAGAUGCUGCUGAACUAAACUUGGCAAUGAAAGUGACUCUCUCAUGGACAUCAGCACUUUGAUCGGAUGAGGUGAUGGAGUUAAGAUUCCUUGGAAACCCCACUUUGACUACAGUGCUUGAUUAGUUCUCACGAUGAUGUAUUGGCUAAAUUAUAGGUGCUCUUUUAACUUUGGUUGUACUUGAUUUGAGGAGCUUUGGCAUCUUGAGCUCAACCAGAGCUGUAGAAGUUUCAAGACCAUGAAUGUGUCAUAAAAGAAAUGUUCUUGAUCUGAGCAGUUAGGCAUUGGCUUCUUGAGGUCAAGCAUUUCUGUAAGAAUAAACCUACCGUGACAACCAUAUGUCUUCCCAAGGCAUUCAAAGAGGAGAGAUGGAUUUGUUGAGA